GGAUGCGUAGCUCAAUGGUUAGAGCACCAACCUUAUAAGUUGGGGGUUCCUGGUUCGAGCCCAGGCGCAUCCA
rnacentral:tRNA from 5 species